GAUGAACGCUGGCGGCGUGCCUAAUACAUGCAAGUCGAGCGAACGGACGAGAAGCUUGCUUCUCUGAUGUUAGCGGCGGACGGGUAAGUAACACGUGGAUAACCUACCUAUAAGACUGGGAUAACUUCGGGAAACCGGAGCUAAUACCGGAUGAUAUUUUGAACCGCAUGGUUCAAAAGUGUAAGACGGUCUUGCUGUCACUUAUAGAUGGAUCCGCGCUGCAUUAGCUAGUUGGUAAGGUAACGGCUUACCAAGGCAACGAUGCAUAGCCGACCUGAGAGGGUGAUCGGCCACACUGGAACUGAGACACGGUCCAGACUCCUACGGGAGGCAGCAGUAGGGAAUCUUCCGCAAUGGGCGAAAGCCUGACGGAGCAACGCCGCGUGAGUGAUGAAGGUCUUCGGAUCGUAAAACUCUGUUAUUAGGGAAGAACAUAUGUGUAAGUAACUGUGCACAUCUUGACGGUACCUAAUCAGAAAGCCACGGCUAACUACGUG
rnacentral:rRNA from 1 species